ensembl:lncRNA
GGAUAAAAUGUUCCGCUGGCCCUUUAAGAAGCAGGAACGUGAGUUCCCGUUCUGCCCAGGACUAUCGCGAGAGUUCACCUGCGAGCAGCGCGAUUUACAACGCGAUGCAAGUGCUUCUUAUGAAGUGUGAGAAUCGGGAAGUUCUUGUGCAUGAAGCAAGACUUUAAGUUUAAAAUCACAAUGGAGCCACUGAGCAGUGAGACUAAGCGUACUCGUCAGACUUACAUCUGAAGACCAAACAUCUGUGGUGAAGUUCAUCGCGGAGUGGUUAUGAAGAAGCUCGUGAAUAUGAUCUGCCAUACGGUUGUAUAACUCCGAAAUCAACUCUGAUAGUGUCACCCCUUUGGUGGAACGCACCAUUAGGAGUGACUGAUCUAGAUCAGACUGAGCGACUUUCCAGUAUCGGCAGAAGAUGGUCGGUGAGGAUGCAUCAUCUUCAGUCCUGGAUUUCUUCCCUCGUUUCCUUGCUGUAUCUGGAUUGAUCGACCAGGAUUUCUCCAUGAUGUUUGUUGACGAAGUGUCUCAGAAGUUCCUGGCAAAGUGGUCAACAUUCUUCAAGCCAAAAAUCAUUGCACACUGCAAGACUCUUAAGAAUAUGGGCGAGCUGCUGUCAGGAACUGAACCUGAACCUGAGGACUACAAUGUGAUGUGUCCUCAAUCCUUUUGCUGCUGCAUCUGUUCCCUCUAACCUCAAGAGGCCAGGAAAAAAACAUCCAAGAUCAGUUCAGCUCAAGCAACCAGCCAUCUUGUGAGCUGUCUUAAGGAAGGAGCCAGUGUGACUACCUUCAUUGAGAGUGCUGACACAAGACAACCAUUUCUCCUCUGCAUCGGUGAGCAAAAGAAGGACAUCAGAAGUUCUACGUUAUCAACCAAAAGGCGAACCCAUGAAGCUGCAUUAAUCACGAUGAACCCAGGCUAUGCAGGCAGGACCGAGCUCCAGGACAACCUGGAGGCCCGCUUCAGAUCCGUCUCCAUGAUUGUACCCGACCACGCCGUCAUCGCAGAGAUGUGCUCUGGUGCCGUCAUUCAUUACAUUUUGUAAUGAACGCAAUAACGGAUGUAUUCUGGCGUAUUACAGAACCGUUUCCACGUUGAACCCGCUUGUUCACGUUGUAGGUGGACUUGUGAGCUGAGGGCUUCAAGUCCAGUGAGACUCUGGCGAGGAAGAUGAUUCAGCUGUAUAAGCUGUGCAGCAAGCAGCUUUCCCAGCAGGACCACUACGACUUCAGCAUGAGAGCCAUGUUCUGUUAUCGCCAUGGCCGGGUAUUUCCGUCUACGAACAGGAUGAACAGAUUAGAUUACAUUCAUUCGUUGUUUUUUCUAAGUUGUUAAUUAAAACUAUCUAUAAAUGUAACGGAUGUCUUGCUGGAAUAAAUUGAGUGUGUGUGUAUGUGUGUGUUCCAGGUCUCUGAAGCGAGAGAACCCACACCUGAGAACGUGGUGUUGAUUAGAGCGCUACGAUACUCCAACCUGACCAAGUUACUCAAGGAUGUUGCAGAACUUAAAAUAAUAUAAAUUGAUAAAUAGUAAAGAACGCCAAAGCUUACAUAUGGAGUAUCAAAGGUCAUUAUCACAGGAUCACUGGAAUCAGGCACUAGGAGGAAAUUCCAGGACAAAUUAGGAAAUACAGUCAAACCUUGGACUGCGAGUAACUUGGUUUGCGAGUGUUUUGCAAGACAAACAAAAAAUUUGAAUAAAUUUUAACGUGAUAUACGAGCGAGGUCUUGCAAUACGAGUACCUGUAGUACGUAUAUGAUGCUUUGUCGAGCGUCACGUGAUCACUACUGAGCUGAUGAUUCUUCUCUCACAUGCUCUGUCUCAGUCAGCGUGCCUCGUUGACUUGUAUAGUCAACAUCUGUGUGAGCAUAUACUGUUUGCUAUAGUGCUGUAACUGUUGUGACUGUGUAGUAAAUGUGCUGCGACAAUGGCACCAUGAAGAAAAAAUUUGAAAAGGAAGGCGAUAAGAAAAAGGAGAUUAUGGUGGAACUUAAGAAGGAAAUCAUCGAGAAGCACAAACAAGGUAUGCGAGUAGCUGAGUUGCGAGUAGUCAGUUGUCGAUGAAAUUGUGUCCUUGGGAAAGACCAUGGGACUGGAGAUGAAUGAAGAUGACAUUCAAGAGCUGGUGGAGGAACAUGGCCAGGAGCUGACUACCGAUGAACUGAUGGAUCUGCAUCACGAGCAACAGCAAGAGGUUAUGGGGGAGGUCUCGUCUGAGGAGGAGGAGGAGGAGGAGAAAAGACGGAGAAAUCCCUCACUUCAAAUGAGAUUAGGGAGGUGUGUAAAAUGUGGGAAACAGCGCAAAAUUUUGUAGAAAAGCACCACCCGAGUAAGACUGUAGCAGUGCGAGCAAUGAAUCUGUUUAACGACAAUGUAAUGUCACAUUUCCGCGAAAUCCUUAAAAGGAGGUAAAAGCAAGUGUCACUGGAUAGGUUCCUUGUUAACGUCGUACAAAAAGAAAAAGAUUCCGGCGAGCCAACAGACAGCAGUGAUUCCAUUAGUAACAGUGAAAGUCCC